rnacentral:rRNA from 1 species
UACGUAGGGUGCGAGCGUUUGUCCGGAAUUAUUGGGCUAAAGAGCUCGUAGGCGGUGUGUCACGUCGGCCGUGAAAACCUGCAGCUUAACUGUGGGCGUGCGGUCGAUACGGGCAUCACUGGAGUUCGGCAGGGGAGACUGGAAUUCCUGGUGUAGCGGUGAAAUGCGCAGAUAUCAGGAGGAACACCGGUGGCGAAGGCGGGUCUCUGGGCCGAUACUGACGCUGAGGAGCGAAAGCGUGGGGG